UUGGUUUGGGGUUGUUAAUUUAUUACAGAGAUUAGUUCUUCUACUGGAGCUAAAAACACUUGUGUGCACGGAGAUCGCUUUUGGCUCAAAACACUGCUUAAAAA